rnacentral:rRNA from 1 species
GACGAACGCUGGCGGCGUGCUUAACACAUGCAAGUCGAACGCGCCUGUCCUCUGGGUUUCUGGGGGGUGGGUGAGUGGCGAACGGGUGAGUAACACGUGAGUAACCUGCCCCCUUCUUCGGGAUAACGGUCUGAAAGGGCUGCUAAUACCGGGUAUUCACUGGUCUCCGCAUGGGGUCUGGUGGAAAGGUUUUUUUCUGGUGGGGGAUGGGCUCGCGGCCUAUCAGCUUGUUGGUGGGGUGAUGGCCCACCAAGGCUUUGACGGGUAGCCGGCCUGAGAGGGUGACCGGUCACAUUGGGACUGAGAUACGGCCCAGACUCCUACGGGAGGCAGCAGUGGGGAAUAUUGCACAAUGGGCGCAAGCCUGAUGUAGCGACGCCGCGUGAGGGAUGGAGGCCUUCGGGUUGUGAACCUCUUUCGCCCGUGGUCAAGCCGCGACGUGGGUCGUGGUGAGGGUAGUGGGUAAAGAAGCGCCGGCUAACUACGUG